GAAGCAAUGUUUGCAGUGGGUUUUCGAUGAAGUUGUUCGUGGUGGGUUUCGUGAGGAGAGCUAGUUUGCGUUUGCGAUUGCGAUUGGGUGGUUCGAAGGAUUCAUGGUGGGUUUCGCCAUGGGUCAUGGUGGUUUUGCAAUUUUAUAAUAUUUAACUUUGUGUUCAACAUUUUAAUCCAUUAGAGCAAUUUGUUGGAUUUCAAAAGUUCCUAAUUCCUACUAUCAAUAUUUUGUAUUAGGAUCAACUAUGUUACAAGUUGGAGCACGGUUUCAUCUUUGGAUUCUCUGUUGGAUUUGUCAAAUUCUUUAAGCAAUAUCAAGUGUUGAAGCAUGUACAGCCUCUACAAGUGUAGGAUUCACAAGCAUCAUGCAAUAAUUGUUAAUGAAGGACCCUUUUUCCAAUAGGGUGGCCAUUGGCCCUUUCAAGCCAACUGUAAGACUUCUGAAUCAUAAAUUCAUGAACAAUCCUAGGUCUGCUUGCUUAGGGGUUGCAUGUUGUUGAGCAGAGAGAGGAUACAAACACAUUUCAGCUGGGGUGUAGAGUGGGAUUGAUAGGCUGUUGGUUUUGAGAGGAAUUUUUACAUCGGUUGUACUUUUAACCAAUGUAAAAAGUUGAAAAGUCCCAUAUCAGAAUACACAUAAGUUCGGGUUAUGCAAACCUAGCUCAAGCCAAAAUUUGACACAUUUCAAUUUUGUAAAGAAAAAAAAAACAGACAAAAAAUUUCCUAGGAA
rnacentral:lncRNA from 1 species